rnacentral:rRNA from 1 species
AGCGCAGGCGGUUUCUUAAGUCAGAGGUGAAAGGCUACGGCUCAACCGUAGUAAGCCUUUGAAACUGGGAAACUUGAGUGCAGGAGAGGAGAGUGGAAUUCCUAGUGUAGCGGUGAAAUGCGUAGAUAUUAGGAGGAACACCAGUUGCGAAGGCGGCUCUCUGGACUGUAACUGACACUGAGGCACGAAAGCGUGGGGAGCAAACA